rnacentral:rRNA from 1 species
UGGGGAAUUUUGCGCAAUGGGCGAAAGCCUGACGCAGCAACGCCGCGUGAGUGAUGAAGGCAUUCGGGUCGUAAAGCUCUGUCAAGGGGAAAGAAGUGUAGAGUGGUUAAUACCCGCUUUACUUGACGGUACCCCUGAAGGAAGCACCGGCUAACUCAGUGCCAGCAGCCGCGGUAAUACGGGGGGUGCAAGCGUUGUUCGGAUUUAUUGGGCGUAAAGCGCGUGUAGGCGGUUUGUUAAGUCUGAUGUGAAAGCCCUGGGCUCAACGCAGGAAGUGCAGUGGAUACUGGCAGACUUGAAUACGGGUGUGGGUAGUGGAAUUCCUGGUGUAGGAGUAACAUCCGUAGAUAUCAGGAGGAACACAGGUGACGAAGGCGGCUGCCUGGACCCAUAUUGACGCUGAGACGCGAAAGCGUGGGUAGCAAA